rnacentral:tRNA from 1 species
AACUCAGCCGGUAGAGUAACUGCCUUUUAAGCAGUAAGUCGAGGGAUCGUGACCCUCCAGUCUCACCA